UCUUCGGAGUCUGGGGUGGUUGCGAAGAUCCUGGACGAGCCCCCAAAUGAAAGAUCCCCGAAGAGAGACCCUUUCUAAAGUCGCGGGAAAUCGUGGACCCCAGACACAGAGAGACCA
rnacentral:pre_miRNA from 14 species